rnacentral:lncRNA from 1 species
UCGCAGCUAUCAUAGUGCGGGGUUGACGAGCCUUAACUUCACACCGGAUCUCUGGAAUAAGCCCUUCAAUAAAUGUAUCCAGAAGUUGUCGGUCCGACCAAUCUCUAGCUUGAUUUGAUAAUCUUUCAAACCUACUCUGAUAUUCUAACACUGUAGAAGUCUGACGAAUUUUGGUGAGCUAGCAAUCAACAUUCUCAUAUUUGGAUGGGCCAAAGCGAACAAGAAGCCCUCUUUUGAACUGCUCCCACGAAGGAACUCCGUGGAAAGUUUCAUACCAAUCGUACCACUGGAGUGCAUCUCCC